rnacentral:ncRNA from 1 species
AUAAAAGCGAUGAUGGAAACGAGUAGGUUUGAACGCAGCCACAGCGAGUCCGGGUGGGUGUGAGCCGGGCGCAAAGCGACAAAUCGAAAAUCCUUCCGGAGCUGCAAACUGAACGCAGGGUUGCCUGUCAGUAGGGGCGCCGGUUUCGCCAGCCGUUAGAUAAGGCGCGAAUAUUUCCUGAAAAUGGCGUAUUCGGCUGAGUGCCUGCUGGAUCAGCAGGAAACAGGGUGGUACCGCGAGAAAACCCUCUCGUCCCUGUG